rnacentral:rRNA from 1 species
AGCCUGAUCCAGCAAUGCCGCGUGCAGGAUGAAGGCCUUCGGGUUGUAAACUGCUUUUGUACGGAACGAAAAAGCUCCUUCUAAUACAGGGGGCCCAUGACGGUACCGUAAGAAUAAGCACCGGCUAACUACGUGCCAGCAGCCGCGGUAAUACGUAGGGUGCGAGCGUUAAUCGGAAUCACUGGGCGUAAAGCGUGCGCAGGCGGUUAUGUAAGACAGAUGUGAAAUCCCCGGGCUCAACCUGGGAACUGCAUUUGUGACUGCAUGGCUAGAGUACGGUAGAGGGGGAUGGAAUUCCGCGUGUAGCAGUGAAAUGCGUAGAUAUGCGGAGGA